CAAAAGACAGCUGAGGAGGGAGCCACAGGUGCCAGCUGCCCAUACCUUGUCAAACAGGCUUCCUCCAAUCACAAGCCUUAUUGUUACUGGUGUCAGUUGAUGCCAUAAUUGGAGGUGGAGGUGGAGAGUGUGCAGAUGAAACAGGGACUGGAGUGUUCAGAGCUCAUAAAGAUGUCAAAAAUUAAAAAGAUAAAUACUGGUAAGCUAUUGCUGGCAGAACCAGUCCCAAAUUCAAGCAG